rnacentral:rRNA from 1 species
UACGGAGGGUGCGAGCGUUGUCCGGAAUCACUGGGUUUAAAGGGUGCGUAGGUGGAUUGGUAAGUCAGUGGUGAAAUCCCCGAGCUUAACUUGGGAACUGCCAUUGAUACUAUCAGUCUUGAAUACCGUGGAGGUCAGCGGAAUAUGUCAUGUAGCGGUGAAAUGCUUAGAUAUGACAUAGAACACCAAUUGCGAAGGCAGCUGGCUACACGAAUAUUGACACUGAGGCACGAAAGCGUGGGGAUCAAACAGG